UACGUAGGGGGCAAGCGUUGUCCGGAAUUAUUGGGCGUAAAGAGCGCGUAGGCGGUCCGGUAAGUCGGCUGUGAAAGUCAAGGGCUCAACCCUUGAAAGCCGGCCGAUACUGUCGGACUAGAGUCCGGAAGAGGCGAGUGGAAUUCCCGGUGUAGCGGUGAAAUGCGCAGAUAUCGGGAGGAACACCAAUGGCGAAGGCAGCUCGCUGGGACGGUACUGACGCUGAGGCGCGAAAGCUAGGGGAGCAAACGGG
rnacentral:rRNA from 1 species